rnacentral:lncRNA from 1 species
UCAACCUUUACAUGACAAACUUCAUAAAAACUUUCAAAACAAUAACUAUUUGUAUCCUCAUGUGACCACAACACGAGUACCAUUCCAAAUUUCACCAGCAACCGCCUCUUCCAUUCUCCAAAGCAUGGUCGGCGUACCAUCAAUAUUACUCUGGAUCUGCAACAGAAAACACCACAAACUCCAACAACCUUCAGGAUAUUAAAACACUUUAACACUCACCAUAAAACUCCAUUUUUAGACCACUAUUCACCUUACACAAACUCUCUUUGUUCACUGAACCACAACAACGCCACAGAAACUGCCGUGUCCGCCGUUG